AUUGAACGCUGGCGGCAGGCCUAACACAUGCAAGUCGAGCGAACCUAGCUUGCUAGGUGAGCGGCGAACGGGUGAGUAACGCGUAGGAAUCUGCCUGGUAGUGGGGGACAACGUUCCGAAAGGAACGCUAAUACCGCAUACGCCCUACGGGGGAAAGCAGGGGAUCUUCGGACCUUGCGCUAUCAGAUGAGCCUGCGUCGGAUUAGCUAGUUGGUGGGGUAAAGGCCUACCAAGGCGACGAUCCGUAACUGGUCUGAGAGGAUGAUCAGUCACACCGGAACUGAGACACGGUCCGGACUCCUACGGGAGGCAGCAGUGGGGAAUAUUGGACAAUGGGGGCAACCCUGAUCCAGCCAUGCCGCGUGUGUGAAGAAGGCCUUCGGGUUGUAAAGCACUUUAGGUCGGGAGGAAGGUUCGCUGGCUAAUAUCCAGCGGAAUUGACGUUACCGACAGAAUAAGCACCGGCUAACUCCGUGCCAGCAGCCGCGGUAAUACGGAGGGUGCGAGCGUUAAUCGGAAUUACUGGGCGUAAAGCGCGCGUAGGCGGCUUGAUAAAUCGGGUGUGAAAUCCCUGGGCUUAACCUGGGAACUGCAUCCGACACUGUCAGGCUAGAGUGUGGGAGAGGGUGACGGAAUUCCCGGUGUAGCGGUGAAAUGCGUAGAUAUCGGGAGGAACAUCAGUGGCGAAAGGCGGUUGCCUGGCCCAACACUGACGCUGAGGUGCGAAAGCGUGGGUAGCAAACAGGAUUAGAUACCCUGGUAGUCCACGCCGUAAACGAUGUCGACUAGCCGUUGGGAACCUUAGAGUUUCUUGUGGCGCAGCUAACGCGAUAAGUCGACCGCCUGGGGAGUACGGCCGCAAGGUUAAAACUCAAAUGAAUUGACGGGGGCCCGCACAAGCGGUGGAGCAUGUGGUUUAAUUCGAUGCAACGCGAAGAACCUUACCACCCCUUGACAUCCUGCGAACUUUCUAGAGAUAGAUUGGUGCCUUCGGGAGCGCAGAGACAGGUGCUGCAUGGCUGUCGUCAGCUCGUGUUGUGAAAUGUUGGGUUAAGUCCCGUAACGAGCGCAACCCUUGUCCUUAGUUGCCAGCGAGUAAUGUCGGGAACUCUAAGGAGACUGCCGGUGACAAACCGGAGGAAGGUGGGGACGACGUCAAGUCAUCAUGGCCCUUACGGGGUGGGCUACACACGUGCUACAAUGGCCGGUACAGACGGUUGCAAACCCGCGAGGGGGAGCCAAUCCGAGAAAACCGGUCGUAGUCCGGAUUGCAGUCUGCAACUCGACUGCAUGAAGUCGGAAUCGCUAGUAAUCGCGAAUCAGCUAUGUCGCGGUGAAUACGUUCCCGGGCCUUGUACACACCG
rnacentral:rRNA from 1 species